AAAAAUAGUGAUAUCUAAAUAUUUUGCGCCAGUUAUAAGAACAAAUAUUUUUAUAGAAACUAAAACAUUAUUACUAUUCUUUAAGGGGGGUAAUGGCGGACGUUGAUGAAUGGUCAGGAGGAGUGCUCUUGUUAGUUUGUAAUAGAAAAGUGAAAAAGAUGUGAAAGAAGAAGUGAGAGUGAGUGGAGGAGGACAAGGAGGUGGAAUAAUUGCUCGGACAUUGAAGGGAAGUGCAGGGUAGAUGGUGGAGAGAGACAGAAGAGGUGUUUGAAUAUCGAAGCAGGUGACCAGUGGAUGAGAUAGCGGUUUUUGGAGAUGGGGACAGUGCGCAGGAGCGGACGGAUGCGGAAGCUGAGCGGACAAACGACGUGAGAGAUGGAGAGUGGCGCUGGAGGAGGAGAGAGUGUGCAGAGGAGUCAACAGAUGGCGUGGCAGGAGGCAAGAAGGCAUGAUGAUCGAUAAUUCGAGCCAUCGAUGUACGAGCAGGUGACGAAGGACGGAAGGUGGAAGGAAGGAAGGAGAGAAGAAAGCGACGGAAGGACGAGAGCAAGAGAAAGGUGGAAUGAGGGAAAGAUAAGAAAAGACGAUGAAGGAAGUGGAAGAAGAACGGAAGGAGAAAGAGAAGAACGGGAAAGAAGGAAAGAAAGAGGAGAGGGGAAAAUUU